rnacentral:lncRNA from 1 species
CAAUAAAAAUGGAACUGGCAAUGAUUUCAACCAAAAUUUUACGCAGUAUGUGAAGCCAGUUUCAUUCUCCAAUGAUGUCGACACCAGCAGGAGCGAAAUAGGUGAAUGCCUGCACAAUAGGAAGAUAUUAGUGGUUCCCAUUUUCGAAAAGCAUUAUGUUACGAAGAACGAAUUGUCUUCGACUACCCCGUAUGCAUCUGUUCCUCAACCAUCAGAAGCUGAAGCAGAAAAUAAAGGGAGAAAAUAUUACUUGAUAUUAACUUACCUUGUGAUGUGACUCUGCCGGACAUGAACCAAGACAUUGUUGCAGAGAAUUCAGCCAUAGAAAAGGAAGCAAAUACAAAGCUACCAAGUUCCCCACAUCAGUUCGACUUGAACUCCUGUGUUGAUGAGGAUGAAACUUCUUUUGUACCC